CACUCUCCCCUCACUCUGUCUCACUCUCACGCAUAGCCAAGAACAGGAGCAAGAAUUCCUCCUUAUCUCCUCCAAAUCUCGCCCAAAGAUCCAAAAGGGAGCCCUGCAUGUUAUGCAAUUGCAUUCCCUGGUCUUCAAGCUUGCCAUUUAUCCUAGUAGUUUGCGCAUGCAUGAGGGAUUGAGCUAGAUAGAGAUGGAGGAAUGAAGGAGCAGGAGCUGCUCCUUUCUUCCCCAUUCUUGCUCUCGGCCUGAGCAUAACUGCUCAUGGUGGCUCUUGCUCCAUCCACCACUUCCUCCAUCCACGUCCACCUCAAAUCGAUUCCUGGGAUGUGCUACAUCUUCCCUGCCCCUCCUCUGACCGAGCCCCAUGGCCACUCGUCGCCGGCGAGCACAAACAGGAUAGUGCCAUUGCACAGCACACCUAGAGCUACGCCACCUUCGCCCCCUUCCUGGCCUCGAAGCUUGGGCUCGGCGUUUUCUUCCCCCGGUGCCAGCCGCUGGACAGAAUCUCCUCGCCCCCGAGCUACGUCCAACACCACCGAGCCCAGAGCCCCAGACCCUCCGCAAGCCGAGCUGCAGCAUGCUCCUGCUGCGAGUCUUGCUGCCGUUUUCCCACUUCCGUGUAGCCAGAGCCGAGCGUCGUCUUGCUCACGGCCGGUGACCACACCGCUCUGCUCCACUGCAAAUCCCCGAUGCAUGCCCACUGAAGAGAUGCUACACGACCACGACAUUGCCACCAUGAGCUGAGCUCCGGCGCCACAGCACUCCGCUGCCGGCCGUGCUCUGAAGUUGCUGCUGGCUAAGAAACACUCAAAUCGAACCUCCACGUCUCACGGUUUCUGUUGCUACCCUCCUCCAGCCGAACUGUCGCUAGACCAUCGCCGGCGAGCUCCCCAGUCGCCGGCCACCGCCGUUCCCUUCCUCUCUCUCUCUCUCUCUCUCUGAUUUUGACCGAGGUCAAGAUCUCAACCAGUGCAGCUAGGCCCGUGACCUCAGGUCUGUGAGUAUUACUAUCUGCAUCUGAGUAGAAAAGGUUUAGGAGAAUAGUAAACCAGAAAAGAUUAGAGAACUCCAAAAAGAGUUAUUGAUGUCCAAGUAAAUCGGCUGCAACUUCUAAAAUGCAUAUUAAAUUGAAUAAAGCUCCUAAAAAUAUGAAAUAAAUUUUAUUAGCUUUGUAUGAUCAUGCUUCCUUAUAUCUAACAUAUUGCAGGUCAACGCUAGUGAUCCGGUACUUGUCCACCUUCAUGCGCUUAAUCCAACAUUAUCAAAAUAGGAGUAUCUUGAUACCUAUAUCGUUGAGCUCCUAUAUUUCCUCUAUCUACCCAUAGUAAGUGUAUUUGUGCAUAUUGUUGUCAUUAGCAUCUAUAUACCACUGUUUUGAUUUGUGCAUUUCUCAUCCUGGGUGGCCAUGUAAAACAUGCAACCAUUAAUGUCAUAUCCUUGACAUGUCACAAUUGUAAAGAUCUGCCCUUUUGUCAGCUUCUUAAGUGCUGGACUUGUGCAUGAACUUGCUUGGAUUCGAUCUUGGAACCAAGUAUUGAACAUUUUUCUAUGCUCUCUGAUCAUCCAUAUAUCAGUCUUUUCCGGAUUUUCUCAAAUGAGCAAUGCCUUGUGCUCCUUGAUAUAUUUUGACACUUCAUCCAUUUGUUGCAAAAUGAGGAAGUGAGCCUAAGCAUAAGACUUCUGGCCGUAUGUUCAAAUCUAUUAGGUUAUUUCAUGCCUUGGUUUUCUCAAGGAUAUUACACAAGGUACCAAUGAGACUCUCACAUACAUUCUUUUCGAUGUGUAUGGCAUCGAAACAGUACCGAACUUCUAAGUGUGGCCAGUAAGUUAGCUCCCAAAAUAUCGAUUUCUUUUUCCACAUGACUUUUUCAUCACUACUAGAGUGCUUUCUAAGAAGAACAUUGAUGUUCUUCACCUGAUCAUGGACCUCCUACCCACUGAAAUGUCUAAGAGCUAAUGCAUUCUCUCUCAUGCUAUUAAAUUCUUUCAUCAUAUUCCUAUAUGGAUGAGAUUUGGGCACAAACCAUCGAUGUAACAUAUACACUAUUUUUUCUUGAGUUGUUGAGCCACAUACUCUUGGUAGCAUCUAAGCAUUGGUGGCAGGUUUUGCUUCCUUACAGUUUGCCAUGAAAAAUUACCAAGGGCCAGCAAAUUAUUGAUUGUGCAGAAUAACAUAGCAUGUAGACUGAACUACUCUCGCUUGUACUCAUCCAAUACCUCGACACCUUCUAACCAAAGUAUUUUAAGGUCAUCCACCAACGGUCUGAGGUACAUAUCGAUGUCAUUGCUAGGUUGCCUAAGACCUUGAAUUAAAAUUGACAUCAUUAUGUACUUUCUCUUCUCACAGAGCCAAGGAGGAAGAUUAUAUAUGCACAGAACUAAUGGCUAGGUGCUAUAUCUGCUGAUUAUGUUACCAAAUGGAUUUAUUCAAUACGUGUUCAAAGGUGCCGCAGGUUUGAAUCAUUCUUAUGGCCCUCUUUAUGCCAACAAAGCAAUUUGGCCUCCUUUUUGUUGGCAAACAAUGCUUCAAAUCAGAAAUUACAGGAAGAUACCACAUCACCUUUGCAGGAGGUCAUUGUUCCUACGGGCAUCCCCCAUCAUUAUGAUGCUUGUAUCAUGGGGUUACACAUACAGGGCACUCCUGCAAGUUUUCAUCCUCCACGAUAAAUAAUAAAUUCUUUCUUGCAAGCAUGAAUUCUUUACACUUCCAAUCCAAUGGACAAAUUACCCUCUUUGCUUCAUACAUGGAUGUGGGUAGCAAAUUCCCGUUGGGAAACAGUACUGCUAACAAAAGUAACAAUGCAGUGAAACUCUUAUCAGAUCACUCAUUGCUUGCCUUCAAUUUCAAAAAUAGUAGUACCACUUGCAGCAACAUGUAUUGCUCCUCACAGCCCGGAUAUAACGGUUCCUUCGACUACCGCACAAAUUCUUGAAAUUUAGCAAACUCUGUCAUUGUAUUCAUCAUUCCCCUUCGCAUUACGGACGAUCUGCUCCAAAUUUUCAAAAAUAUCAUCACUUUGUCCUUGAAGUCAUCAACAAUCUCUUCGGCAUCCCUCUCAGGAAUAACUUAAUGCACAUCACACUCAGGAACUCUUUAUUCAUGCAUAUCACCAUCACGGUCAGUCACACCUUCUUCUUCAUGCUUGGUUCAAUAUGUAUAGUUCCGUGUGAAUCCACAUAUAAUCAAGUGUGUAUGUAUAUUUUGUGUCUUUCGAAACUUUCUCCCAUUUUUACAAUCAAUGCUUGUGUCGAUGAUUGAUAAACCACCGAUCUUACAAAUGAUUCCUAAUGGGGGUUUCUACAAAAAAUACAUGAGUGGGGUCAAAUACAUGAGUGGACCUAGAAGGUUGGAUUGAGAUCCGACAACUGCAGCCUAUUGUUUGCAUCCUUGGACUAGACACCACUAUUAUUUUGAUCUUUAUCUUCAUUUAAAUGGGGCGCCCGGUCCCACUACUCAUCUAAUCUUGUAUCCAUUGGCAUUCUAUCUUUUUCCACAAAUGUGGGUUGCCCAGUCCCAGCAUGAUGGUACAUCACUACUCAUCUAAUCAUUUUUUCAAAAAAUGAGCUAUCCGGUCAAACAACUACUUGUCUGAUUUUUCUCCAUCUAGGAGGUAUGUUCGACUAAUCCUAUUUUUUAAACAUUAUUAAAUAAUACUUUUCUUGAAAUUUCUAUAUUUUAAAAGGAUUUAGAUUAAACUUAACAUUUACAAUAGUUCAUACAGGAAAAAUUAAACACAAAUUUUAUUACAAAAAAUACUGUAAAGUCAAAAAUCUUAUAUUUUGAAUUAUGAAAAUUUCCUAAUAUUUUGGAGUUCAUUUAACUUAAUUCUGAUUUUAUUUUUUCAGCUAUAAACCUAACAAAUAAAAAGAAAUUCCUAAAUUUAGUUGGGAUAAAUAUUUCUUUCCUUUUCUUUUAUCUGGCCUAUUUUCGUUCUCUAUUGGCCCUAGCCACGCCUGAGCACAGGCCUCUGUCUUCCUCUCUCACCCUUUUCACUGCUAGCCAGCCCCACCUGUAAGCUUCCUCCAAAACCUCAAUUCCCGUCCACCAAGGCCGUUAGCCAAUCGAGCACAUGCAAGUAUGCAUUCAAAGGCAAUCCAAUAAAAAUCGUAUGCGCCUUUUUGCUUAUAGCACUAUUGGCAUGUACAACACAUUGGAUCAAGUUUUGAUGUAGCAUGUAGCGAAGAGCAAAAAAUCGUACGUGUUUUGGAGACGGGAAGGCUUUACUAUGGGAACCCCUUCCCGUUGAAUAUGUGUCAAAUAUAGUACAAGAUAGGUUAUAUAUUAGAUUUUAGUUGUAUUAGUGGUACAGGGUAAAGUUAAAGUAGGAUUUCUGUAACCCGUUCUCUUUAUAAAUAUGACAUGAUAGUUGCUGUUAUAACUAUGAUGACAUAGCAACUAGUUCGCAGGGGUGGCGUUUAUGUCAGAAUCUCGGAGUAGCCGGUUUUGCAACCAUGGGGAGAAACGCUCGUAGCUAUGCCCUGGGGAUGUAGGUUUCGGCUAAAUCUCAUUAAUAAACAUCAUGCUUCUGGUAUUAUCUGUGUUCUCAUGUGUAUCAUCUCGAUAGAUCAAUCAAUUACUUCUGCAUGGCUAAAUUUCCUAACACCUUCGUACCAGGAUUUUUUUCACCAGUAAAUAAAAUUUACUAGAGGUCACCUAUAAACAUGAUUGAUCUGAUUUGUCAAAUCAAAGACAAACAAAUUUUAAAAAAAUAAAAAAAUUUGACAUGAAUUUGCUACAAAUUGUUCCUAAUCAAUUAAUCACCGCAAAUUGCAUAUAACAAUAAAGAAAUAAGAUAAUAUCAUAAAUCCAUAGCACAUUAGAUAGAUUCAAUACACUGAGCAUAACAAUGUCAUCCUAAACGCACCUAGUUAUCUUUAAAUCGCUAAGCAGGGGAAAGAAACUAUAAUCAACAUCAUGAACUUAAACAAACAAAACUACAAGGUAAAGCUCAUAUGCUAAAUUGACAUUAACAAUUCAAAGCACCUA